GGUUGACCUCGGAUCAGGUAGGAGUUACCCGCUGAACUUAAGCAUAUCAAUAAGCGGAGGAAAAGAAACCAACCGGGAUUGCCUCAGUAACGGCGAGUGAAGCGGCAAGAGCUCAAAUUUGAAAUCUGGCCCCUUUGGGGUCCGAGUUGUAAUUUGCAGAGGAUGCUUCGGGUGCGGUCCCCAUCUAAGUGCCCUGGAACGGGCCGUCAUAGAGGGUGAGAAUCCCGUCU
rnacentral:rRNA from 1 species